UACGUAGGGUGCAAGCGUUGUCCGGAAUUAUUGGGCGUAAAGAGCUCGUAGGCGGUUUGUCGCGUCUGCUGUGAAAACUCGGGGCUUAACUCCGGGCCUGCAGUGGGUACGGGCAGACUAGAGUGCGGUAGGGGAGACUGGAAUUCCUGGUGUAGCGGUGAAAUGCGUAGAUAUCGAGAGGAACACCUGCGGCGAAGGCGGGUUGCUGGGCUGAUACUGACGCUGAGGCGCGAAAGCCAGGGGAGCAAACAGG
rnacentral:rRNA from 1 species